CGCCUGCCCAGUGAACAAUUAAACGGCCGCGGUACCCUAACCGUGCAAAGGUAGCGUAAUCACCUGUCUAUUAAUUGUAGACCCGUAUGAACGGCAAAAUGAGGGUUUAACUGUCUCUUGUGAUAAAUCAAUUAAACUGAUCUCCCAGUCCAAAAGCUGGAAUAUCCCCAUAAGACCAGAAGACCCUGUGAAGCUUAAACUAAACUAUUAAACCAAAUAAUAGCUCCUUUAGGUUGGGGCGACCUUGGAAAAAAAAAGAACUUCCAAACUAAAUGACUUACAUCACACUCUUAUAGGCCUACAAGCCCACAAUCGACCCAGCACAGCUGAAUAAUGAACCAAGUUACUCCAGGGAUAACAGCGCCAUCUUCUUCAAGAGCCCAUAUCAAAAAGAAGGUUUACGACCUCGAUGUUGGAUCAGGACAUCCUAAUGGUGCAGCCGCUAUUAAGGGUUCGUUUGUUCAACGAUUAACAGUCCCACGUGAUCUGA
rnacentral:rRNA from 1 species